UACGGAGGGAGCUAGCGUUGUUCGGAAUUACUGGGCGUAAAGCGCACGUAGGCGGCUUUGUAAGUUAGAGGUGAAAGCCCGGGGCUCAACUCCGGAACUGCCUUUAAGACUGCAUCGCUUGAAUCCAGGAGAGGUGAGUGGAAUUCCGAGUGUAGAGGUGAAAUUCGUAGAUAUUCGGAAGAACACCAGUGGCGAAGGCAGCUUACUACAGGAAUAUUGACACUGAUGCACGAAAGCGUGGGGAGCGAACAGG
rnacentral:rRNA from 1 species